AUUGAACGCUGGCGGAAUGCUUUACACAUGCAAGUCGAACGGUAGAGGGGGCAACCCCUCGAGAGUGGCGAACGGGUGAGUAAUAUAUCGGAACGUGCCCAGGCGUGGGGGAUAACGUAGCGAAAGUUACGCUAAUACCGCAUACGAUCUAAGGAUGAAAGCCGGGGAUCGCAAGACCUCGAGCGAUUGGAGCGGCCGAUGUCAGAUUAGGUAGUUGGUGGGGUAAAGGCUCACCAAGCCAACGAUCUGUAGCUGGUCUGAGAGGACGACCAGCCACACUGGAACUGAGACACGGUCCAGACUCCUACGGGAGGCAGCAGUGGGGAAUUUUGGACAAUGGACGCAAGUCUGAUCCAGCCAUUCCGCGUGCAGGAUGAAGGCCCUCGGGUUGUAAACUGCUUUUGUACGGAACGAAAAGGUCUCUCUUAAUACGGGGGGCUCAUGACGGUACCGUAAGAAUAAGCACCGGCUAACUACGUGCCAGCCGCCGCAGUAA
rnacentral:rRNA from 1 species